rnacentral:piRNA from 1 species
UGCGAAUCCUUUUCCUUUCUU